rnacentral:rRNA from 1 species
UACGAAGGGGGCUAGCGUUGUUCGGAAUCACUGGGCGUAAAGGGCGCGGAGGCGGUCUGCGGCGUCGGCGCUGAAAGCGCCCCGCUUAACGGGGCGAGGCGUGCCGAUACGCGCAGACUUGAGGCGAGCAGAGGGUGGUGGAAUUCCGGGUGGAGCGGUGAAAUGCGUAGAGAUCCGGAGGAACGCCAGUGGGGAAGCCGGCCACCUGGGCUCGUCCUGACGCUGCGGCGCGACCGCGUGGGGAGCAAACCGG